rnacentral:rRNA from 1 species
GACGAACGCUGGCGGCGUGCUUAACACAUGCAAGUCGAACGGAAAGACCCUGCUUUUGUGGGGUGCUCGAGUGGCGAACGGGUGAGUAACACGUGAGCAACCUGCCCUUGACUUUGGGAUAACUUCAGGAAACUGGGGCUAAUACCGGAUAGGAGCUCCUGCUGCAUGGUGGGGGUUGGAAAGUUUCGGCGGUUGGGGAUGGACUCGCGGCUUAUCAGCUUGUUGGUGGGGUAGUGGCUUACCAAGGCUUUGACGGGUAGCCGGCCUGAGAGGGUGACCGGCCACAUUGGGACUGAGAUACGGCCCAGACUCCUACGGGAGGCAGCAGUGGGGAAUAUUGCACAAUGGGCGGAAGCCUGAUGCAGCAACGCCGCGUGCGGGAUGACGGCCUUCGGGUUGUAAACCGCUUUCGCCUGUGACGAAGCGUGAGUGACGGUAAUGGGUAAAGAAGCACCGGCUAACUACGUG